GGCAGCAGGUGAUUCCUAGUCUGUCAAGACCGAAAAGGGGCAGAGAGUGGCAUUGUUGCAUCAAAUGUUGUAACAAUGAGCAGAUGGUGAGAGCCUUCAUGUGACCAUCAAAUGAUCUUACAUUACUGCAAUUUCACGCACAUCUUCUUUUCCAAGCUUCAUAGUUUCCAUAUAUUAACUACUAAAAAAGGAAACCACUUAUUGUUUAGUUGGUCGGUUGGUUGGUCGUUCGAUAGAUCGAACACUGAGGAAAGGCUGUUAUGAUGCAUUGAUGCCACUUCAUUAAUUUUUUAUGUCAGCCUUUUUUCCUUGUGUUUACGUAUCUUCAGUCUUACUACCUUGCGGAACAGCCCGACAAACCAAAAAUUAUUUGCGUAUGUUUUUUCUUCCUGUGCUAAAUAGUACUGCAGUGACUAGUAUAAGUAUACAAUGAUGUUCCUUUUUGGUCUUUUACUAAAUUACAACUUCUCUGGCACAGAAAUUUGGUGAUUGUAGGACUAGGAACUUGCUACUGGUGUUGCUCAGCAGUCUAUGACAACGAGUUUGUUCCAGAUGGCGGUGAGGUGGCCUUUGUUCCUUUUUGAAAGUAAGAGUUUUGUUGUUUUAGUUCUCUUGUAUAUGUGCAUUAAUUGGACCGUAAAUUACUCCAUUGAGAUAAUUACCUUUUAAUGAUACGAAUGAUGUCUUUACAUCGCAGUAGUUACUUAUUGUUUUCUUUUCCAUCUUGACCAUAAUUUUUCAUAAAGUAUAAACAUACAACUGAUUGAUCUAGCCUCAUUAUGGUGUAUCAUGAGGCCAAGAGAGCAUGUAGAGUGACAAAAAGCAUCUAGUCUUUCCUUAUAAAACAAGACGUACCACUAAAACUUAUGAAGUACUCCCUCCGUUCCGAUUUACUCGUCGUGGUUUUAGUUCAAAUUUGAACUAAAACCACGACGAGUAAAUGGGAACGGAGGGAGUACAAUACACUCUUAAUCCCGUCAUUUUAUUUGUGUAUUAAUGAGUGUAUCUUAAUGUACAAAUAAAACGAUAAAAUUAGGGAGUGUAUCUUACUUUAUAGGUUUCAGUCAUAGUUCUCUUUUUAUAAUGAAAGCAUGAGCGCUUUCUUUGCUCAAUCUCCAUGCUCUCCGGCCUCAUCAUCUGCCAUAAUGAGGUUAGAUCAAAGUUGUACACUUGUACUUACAAAAGUUAUGAAUUUAGGAUCAGAUGAAAAAAAGGAACUAUUGUGACGAUGUAAAGACAUUUUUUUCAUGAAAAGUUAUGCUUGUAGUUGUGCCAAAUUUUGCUCCAAUUAAUGUGUACACAAGAGAACCAAAAAAAAACACACUUACCCAAUGGCGGAGCCAGGAAUAUAGUAUGAGGAGGGCCAAGUGUAGUAAAUCCUUGCUAGGGAGGGCCAGCUCAUAAGAAUACACCAGGUAAAUCAUCCACUUAUUGAUCUUGCCUUGUUGUGGCGGAUCAUGAGGCCAGAGAGCGUAUAGUGUCCAAAAAGGCAUCUAGUCUUUCAUUAUAAAACUAGAACUAUCACUGAAACUUAUAUGAAGUAAAAUACACUACUUAACACUACUAACACCAAAAAGUAUUUCCAUACAGCUAUUUUCUAGAUAAAAUAGCUACCGCGAAGAUAGAUUGGUUUUGCUUCUGAAUCAAUGUGUUGUGUAAUUAUGAAUGCCUCUUUUAUUUGCCAGGUUCCUGAGAUCCUGUAUAGGUCUCUUGAUGUGAACCUUGUGAUUGGAAUGUCUUUCAAGGUCUGACCUUAUAUAGACUUUUGUUUA
rnacentral:lncRNA from 1 species